rnacentral:tRNA from 3 species
GGUCUCGUGGCCGAGUGGCUAGGCAAGGCUCUGCAAAAGCUUGUACAGCGGUUCGAAUCCGCUCGAGACCUCAA